rnacentral:rRNA from 1 species
AUUAGAGUUUGAUCCUGGCUCAGGAUGAACGCUAGCUACAGGCUUAACACAUGCAAGUCGAGGGGCAGCAGAUCGAAAGCUUGCUUUUGAUGCUGGCGACCGGCGCACGGGUGAGUAACGCGUAUCCAACCUUCCCUAUAGCAGAGAAUAGCCCGGCGAAAGUCGGAUUAAUGCUCUAUGUUGUAUUUAGAGGACAUCUGAAGAAUACCAAAGGUUUACCGCUAUAGGAUGGGGAUGCGUCUGAUUAGGUAGUAGGCGGGGUAACGGCCCACCUAGCCGACGAUCAGUAGGGGUUCUGAGAGGAAGGUCCCCCACAUUGGAACUGAGACACGGUCCAAACUCCUACGGGAGGCAGCAGUGAGGAAUAUUGGUCAAUGGACGGAAGUCUGAACCAGCCAAGUAGCGUGCAGGAUGACGGCCCUAUGGGUUGUAAACUGCUUUUAUAUAGGGAUAAAGUCGGGGGACGUGUCCCCGUUUGUAGGUACUAUAUGAAUAAAGACCGGCUAAUUUCCGUGCCAGCAGCCGCGGUAAUACGGAAGGUCCAGGCGUUAUCCGGAUUUAUUGGGUUUAAAGGGAGCGCAGGCUGAUGAUUAAGCGUGACGUGAAAUGUAGCCGCUCAACGGCUGAACUGCGUCGCGAACUGGUUAUCUUGAGUGAGUUCGAUGUUGGCGGAAUUCGUGGUGUAGCGGUGAAAUGCUUAGAUAUCACGAAGAACUCC